AGCGAACGCUGGCGGCAGGCCUAACACAUGCAAGUCGAGCGGCCGUAGCAAUACGGCAGCGGCAGACGGGAGAGUAACACGUGGGAACGCGCCCUUCGGUCUGGAAUAACCCAGGGAAACUUGGGCUAAUACCGGAUACGCCCUUACGGGGCAAGAUUUAUUGCCGAAGGAACGGCCCGCGUCCGAUUAGCUAGUGGGUGAGGUAACGGCUCACCAAGGCGACGAUCGGUAGCUGGUCUGAGAGGAUGACCAGCCUCACUGGGACUGAGACACGGCCCAGACUCCUACGGGAGGCAGCAGUGGGGAAUAUUGGACAAUGGGCGCAAGCCUGAUCCAGCCAUGCCGCGUGGGUGAUGAAGGCCCUAGGGUUGUAAAGCCCUUUCAGCGGGGAAGAUAAUGACGGUACCCGCAGAAGAAGCCCCGGCUAACUUCGUGCCAGCCGCCGCAGUAAUAC
rnacentral:rRNA from 1 species